UACAGAGGUCUCAAGCGUUGUUCGGAUUUACUGGGCGUAAAGGGCGCGUAGGCGGCCACGACAAGUCACUUGUGAAAUCUCCGGGCUUAACUCGGAACGGUCAAGUGAUACUGUCGGGCUAGAGUACAGAAGGGGCAACUGGAAUUCUCGGUGUAGCGGUGAAAUGCGUAGAUAUCGAGAGGAACACCUGCGGCGAAGGCGGGUUGCUGGGCUGAUACUGACGCUGAUGCGCGAAAGCCAGGGGAGCGAACGGG
rnacentral:rRNA from 1 species